AAACUAGGAUUAGAUACCCUAUUAUAUUAAUUUUAAGAAAAAUUUAAUUAUUAAAUGUAGAUCAUUAAAAUUAUAAGAUAUGGCAGUUAUAUAAAGUUUUAGGGGAACUUGUAUAUUAAUUCGAUAAUCCACGAUAUUAGGUACUAAUGAAAUAUAAAUAUUAUUUUUGUAUUGUUGUUUAAAAAUUUUGUAUUAAUAUAAUAAUUAAUAUUUUUUUUAUAAAAAAAGAAAUUCAAAUCAAAAUAAAGUAUUUAUUAGAUAAUAUGAGUUACAUUAAUAAAAAAUUUAUUUAAGUUAAUAGUAAUAAAUUUUAAUAUUUUUAAUGAAUAGGAUUUAAAAGUAAAAUUAAUUAAUAUAUAUUAAUUUGAAUAUUUUUUAUAUAAUGUACAAAUUGCCCGUCAAUUUCAAUAAAAUUUGAAAUAAGUCGUAACAAAGUGAGAGUAUUGGAAAAUGUUCUUAGAUAAA
rnacentral:rRNA from 1 species